UAGGGCUGACUUGCAGCGCGUUGGGCACACGCCCUCUUAGGGGAGGUAUCUAUAUACGCUGUUUCCGCCUGACUGUAAUGCCGGUCAUUUGAAUUGUUUGGCGCGUGUUGCCCGUGUUUGUCUGUCGCUGGAAGAACACACUGCUACGUACUGAGACCUGCUGAAUGCAGACUGCGCGUUGCUUUUGUGCUGGCGCAUUGGCCGUCUAAGUGCUUAAGUCGAGGUGCGUUGCUGUUGUUGCCCCGUAACUUUCUCUCUCCGAGGUUUGUUUGCAGGAAGCCUGACGCUCCCUAAGCAGGAAAUACACACAGUGCAGUGUUGACCACUGUUUUCCCUUACGUUAUUUGUUUUGGAUUUCUUAGGCUGUGAAAGAGCCACCAGCAUCUUGUUAUUUCUUUUGGGUGUUUGUUUCCUUUUGUUUGGAUGAAUGUGUGUGUCAUUAUUAGUUAACUGCCACCUGGGGGCUACCAGCCGCUGUAUAUAGGUUCAGUGUAACCUAUGGACACUGCCUCUGACCUCUUGUUGCAUGGUGUUCUAGAUCCCCAAACACAAUUGUGUGGAGUGUCUUUAAGCAUUUUAUCACCUUGUUCUGGAUCCUGUGUUAGCCUACGUGUGUAGAGUGACUUGUGAUUUGCAGUGUUAUUAUCCAGAUCGUAUUGAUCUUUAUUGGGUGAUUGUCAGACUGGUGUUAACGGGUUAUCAGUAGCCUGUAUAUCGUAGUGGGGAACUACUUUGUUGGCAGUGUAUGAACGUGUGUGUGUGUGUGUUUGAAGUACUGUUUUGUUAUAUCAUUCAAUACCAUUGACCAGAUAUUUCUUAAAUAAAACAUACAGUC